UAACGAAUCUUCCCCAAUGGGCGCAAGCCUGAGGGAGUGACGCCGCGUGAGUGAAGAAGGUUUUCGGAUCGUAAAACUCUGUUGUGAGGGAAGAACAAGUACGAGAGUAACUGCUCGUACCUUGACGGUACCUCAUUAGAAAGCCACGGCUAACUACGUGCCAGCAGCCGCGGUAAUACGUAGGUGGCAAGCGUUGUCCGGAAUUAUUGGGCGUAAAGCGCGCGCAGGCGGUCCUUUAAGUCUGAUGUGAAAGCCCACGGCUCAACCGUGGAAGGUCAUUGGAAACUGGGGGACUUGAGUGCAGAAGAGGAAAGUGGAAUUCCAAGUGUAGCGGUGAAAUGCGUAGAGAUUUGGAGGAACACCAGUGGCGAAGGCGACUUUCUGGUCUGUAACUGACGCUGAGGCGCGAAAGCGUGGGGAGCAAACAG
rnacentral:rRNA from 1 species